rnacentral:rRNA from 1 species
GACGAACGCUGGCGGCGUGCUUAACACAUGCAAGUCGAGCGGUAAGGCCCUUUCGGGGGUACACGAGCGGCGAACGGGUGAGUAACACGUGGGUGACCUGCCCUCAGCUCUGGGAUAAGCCUGGGAAACUGGGUCUAAUACUGGAUAUGACUCCACGGUGCAUGUCGUGGGGUGGAAAGCCUUGUGCGGCUGAGGAUGGGCCCGCGGCCUAUCAGCUUGUUGGUGGGGUGANGGCCUACCAAGGCGACGACGGGUAGCCGGCCUGAGAGGGCGACCGGCCACACUGGGACUGAGACACGGCCCAGACUCCUACGGGAGGCAGCAGUGGGGAAUCUUGCGCAAUGGGCGAAAGCCUGACGCAGCGACGCCGCGUGAGGGAUGACGGCCUGGUGUAACUACUUCUA